rnacentral:rRNA from 1 species
UACGUAGGGGGCUAGCGUUGUCCGGAAUCAUUGGGCGUAAAGGGUUCGCAGGCGGAAAUUCAAGUCCGAUGUAAAAGGCGAAAGCUCAACUUUCGUAAGCAUCGGAAACUGUCAAGCUUGAGUGAAGGAGAGGCAAGUGGAAUUCCUAGUGUAGCGGUGGAAUGCGUAGAUAUUAGGAGGAAUACCGGUGGCGAAGGCGACUUGCUGGACUGCAACUGACGCUGAGGAACGAAAGCGUGGGUAGCAAACAGG